rnacentral:misc_RNA from 1 species
AAAGUCGUAACAAGGUUUCCGUAGGUGAACCUGCGGAAGGAUCAUUACAAAAUACCGGCCUCACGGCCUACGCUGGAUAUGCGCCGGCGUGGGGGGGGGACCUCCCCCCCCCCGCCGGCCAUUGACGGUUAACCCACUGUGAAAAACCUCUGUUGCUUCGGCAGCGCCUUCCCGUCCGCGGGGAGGGUCAGCCUGCCGGCGGCACCCUCGCAAAACCCUUUGUGAAUUUGGUAAAACAAACGUCUGAGAGCGCAGUCGAAUGACAUAUAAAACUUUCAACAACGGAUCUCUUGGUUCCC